GGCUCGGUAGCUUAGUUGGUAAAGCGCUCGUCUAGCAUACAAGAGUCCAAUCCCAGCCG
rnacentral:tRNA from 1 species